ACGCUCGACACCUACGGGAGGCAGCAGUUGGGAAUAUUGGACAAUGGAGGAAACUCUGAUCCAGUGACGCCGCGUGAAGGAAGAAGGUCUUCGGAUUGUAAACUUAUUUUGUCAGGGAAGAAAAAUGAACUGUACCUGAAGAAAAAGCACCGGCUAACUACGUGCCCGCAGCCGCGGUAAUCUGAGCGGGCUGGCAAGGC
rnacentral:rRNA from 1 species